rnacentral:tRNA from 1 species
GGACGAUUAGCUCAGGCCUGCCUUACAAGCAGGAUGUCGGCAGUUCGAUCCUGUCAUCGUCCACCA